CCUGACCGCUGGAGGCGCUACAUGAUACAGGAGCUCAUGAUGCACACAGAGCUGUUAAAGGAGAGUGAGAGCCCAGUCCCGGUGUAAUUCUGCUCGUGAUCAGAAAUGCUUCUGAAAGUCUUUCUGGCUCGUUUGUUUGGUCGGCUUGUAGCAUUAGCUGUUAUGCUAACACGUGGGCUAAGAUGACGAUGGUGUACUCGGCGUGUUGGGCUCUGGUUGCUGUGUUAGCGUUGCUGCUAACUGGUUCUGAUCCAUCUGGAGAAACUGAGAGCGGAUCGUGAGGGCCGGCGUUGGAGCGAUGGUGUACUCGGCGUGUUGGGCUCUGGUUGCUGUGUUAGCGUUGCUGCUAACUGGUUCUGAUCCAUCUGGAGAAACUGAGAGCGGAUCGUGAGGGCCGGCGUUUGAGCGGGUGCAGAAAAUGUAGCAGGCAGAAACUUUUCCACUUUGAGCAAAUACUUGAGAGAAGAAUGAGGCCUUUCUAUUUCUGGACUGUGACAAUUAUGCUAGUGACGGUGAUCAGAGGAGGUCAAGAAGAAAUCCAGGGUUGACAAGACAGCAUGUAGUGGGGAAUACAGCAUCUCUACAGUUACACAGGAUCUGUAAUGUUCACCGCACCAUUUGAGGACUGUGAUUGCUGUGAGAUGUCUUCAUCAUGAGAGGUGGAGGUGAUCCUUUGUAGCAGCAUAAUGCAGCAGCACUGGAGCAGCAUCAACCUUAUCUGAGAAUGUCUGUCAGGAACAUGUCUCCAUGGUGCAACAGUUUUUAUUUUGACUGGGCUACGAGAACACGAGAAAUAUUUUUUUAUUUCAGAUGAUUAUUACUGAGCAAAGAUAAACAGAUAUUUGUUAUGCUGGGUUUUGACUUCAUAAUGUUUUUUUUUCCACCGAGUAUUGUUAACUGGGUUGUAAAAACAUCAGUGUGACUGUCACUGAGGUGCUACACAUUCAGAACGUACUGGAGACCUGUAUGUUGGUUCUUUCUCUAAUAGAUCUCCAAUCUUGUGGAUAUUUGUUGGGGAGAAUGUCUGUCACUGAUGACAGAACUGUACAUUAGGACCUCUCCAUUUUGUUUGCAAUUCACAAAUAAAUAUUCUGUUUUGAGCUAAAGUUGUUAAAUCACAUUCACUUUGGGGCUGAGUUGCUGUCGUUCCCAAUCGCUUCCACUUUGCUAUUAUACCACUGACAGUUGACUGGAAUAUUUAGAAUGAAAUGACAUGUCAUAGUAACAUACAACAUAAUAACAUGGGCACAUGUACAGUGGUGUUCAAAAAAAUAGCAGUCCAACACCAUUAACCUGAUAUAUCACUGUUUUUAGUAGAAAUGCUAUUUCCACAUAGCAAAAAAUUUACUUGAAAGUGUAGUAGAGUAAUGAAAACAAAACAAACCCAACAAUUAGAACAUGCAUGCCGCUCAUUCUGAGUAAUCGAAGCAUUGAUUGAAAGGUGGUUGUUCAAAAUAAUAGCAGUGAGGAAUUCAAUUGGUGAAGUCUUUCAUUCAUUCUGCAGAAGAACAGUAGUCAAUUUUGGCCCUUAUUUAAGGUAGGAGGGGGGCAAAUGUUGCACAGGUUGGUCAUAGCACAUUUCCUUCUGAAAUACUGGGUAAAAUGGGUUGUUCCAGACAUUGUUCUGAUGAACAGCGUACUUUGAUUAAAAAGUUGAUUGUAGAGGGAAAAACAUACAGAGAAGUUCAGCAAAUUAUCGGCUGCUCAGCUAAAAUGAUCUCAAAUACCUUGAAGUGACAACCAACACCUGAAAGACGUAGAAGGAAGCGUGGAACUACUGUUUGAAUGGAUUGAAGAAUAGCCAGAAUGGCAAAUGAUCAGCCAAUGAUCACCUCCAGAGAGAUCAAGGAACAUGUGAAGUUACCAGUGAGUACAGAAGAUGAUUAAGUGAAGCCAAUUUACCAGCAAUAACUCCUUGCAAAGUCCUGUUGUUAAGAAAAAGACGUGUCCUGAAUGGGUUAACAUUUGCCAAGGAACACAUUGACUGUUCCAAAGAGAAAUGGCUGAACAUUUUGUGGACUGGUGAAAGCAAAAUUGUUCUUUUUGGGUCUAGUGGCCGUAGACAGUACGUCAGACGACCCUCGAGCACUGAAUUCAAGCCACAGUACACUGAGUCUUCAAUCUAGUAAAGCAUGGUGGUACAAAAUGAUGAUAUGGGAUGUUUAUUUAUACCAUGGUGUUACACCUAUUUAUCACAUACGAGGGAUCAUGGAUCAGUUUAAAUAUAUCAGAAUACUUGAGGAGAUCAUGUUACCCUAUAUGUCGAAGAAGAAAUGUCCUUAAAAUGGGUGUUUCAACAUGACAAUGACCCAAAACAUCUUAGUUACAGACAAACAAGAUUGAGGUAAUUGAGUGGCCAGACCAAUCCCCUGACUUUAAUCCCACAGAGAACUUGUGUUCUGAUAUCUGAAGCGCGUUUUUUUUAUUCAAAACCCAAAAUUGCAGAAGAACUGUGGAAUGUCGUCUAAUCAUCGUGGACUGGAUACCUGUUCAGAGGUGCCAGAAGUUGGUCGACUCGAUGCAACACAGAUCUCGUAAACAAUUGUUAUGCCACUAAAUAUUAGUUCAGUAAUUUAAAGUAAAGUGAAACCUCAAACAUUUUUUUCAGUUUAUAGAUAAUUUCUUUAGUUUUUAAAGAAAAAUGCUGGCAAUGCUAUUUUUUUUGAACAGCCUAAUAUUAAUUUUUCUUAACUUCCUGUAAAGGGACAGUGAUAGCUCAGUGGUUAAGGUACUGGACUAGUAAACAGAAGAUUGCCGGUUCAAGCCCCGCCACCACCAAGUUGCCACUGUUGGGUCCCUGAGCAAGGCCCUUAACCCUCAAUUGCUCAUUGUGUUCCGCUCAUUGUGUGUAAGUCGCUUUGGAUAAAAGCGUCUGCUAAAUUCUGAAAAUGUAAAUGGAUUAACACAAACUUGCUAAAUGUUGUUAAUGUUUUGAUUUAGAAUUGAAAGUUUAGUAUUUUCAUUGCAUUUGCAUUUAUGGAAAUAAAUGUUAUGAUGAUUUUGAGCUUUAUUCACUUUUUUUAAAUCACUGCUAUUUUUUUGAACACUACUGUAUGGGCACCCAGACCGGAAGAAUCAAAUGUAUCUGUAUCUAGCUUCUGCAGCCUUUCAAUAAAAGGCCAUAAACCAUUUCACAUUCAUUCUCGUGAAGUACUACACUUCAUUUCUGUUUUCAUGUUGUUGCAUUUGUUAAUUUGGGUCAAUAAAGAUAUUUUGAUACCUUUA